rnacentral:rRNA from 1 species
ACAGCAGUCGCCGCGGUAAUACAGAGGAUGCAAGCGUUAUCCGGAAUGAUUGGGCGUAAAGUGUCUAUAGGUGGCUUUUCAAGUCCGCCGUCAAAUCCCAGGGCUCAACCGUGGACAGGCGGUGGAAACUACCAAGCUGGAGUACGGUAGAGGCAGAGGGAAUUUCCGAUGGAGCGGUGAAAUGCGUUGAGAUCGGAAAGAACACCAACGGAGAAAGCACUCUGCUGGGCCGACACUGACACUGAGAGACGAAAUCUAGGGGAGCAAAUGGGAUUAGAUACCCCGGUAGUCCCUGUCUCUUAUAC